UUGUCUUUUUUUUUGGAAGGGAUAAACCUCCCCUCGUGAGGGGAGCUGAAGGUUCCAUACGAAUAAGCAUCGGUUAACUCCGUGCCAGCAGCCGCGGUAAUACGGAGGGUGCAAGCGUUAUCCGGAUUUAUUGGGUUUAAAGGGUCCGUAAGCGGACUUAUAAGUCAGUGGUGAAAGCCUGUCGCUUAACGAUGGAACUGCCAUUGAUACUGUUAAUCUUGAGUAUAUUUGAGGUAGCUGGAAUAAGUAGUGUAGCGGUGAAAUGCUUAGAUAUUACUUAGAACACCAAUUGCGAAGGCAGGUUACCAAGAUAUGAUUGACGCUGAUGGACGAAAGCGUGGGGAGCUAACAUGAUUAGAUACCCUGGUAGUCCACGCCGUAAACGAUGCUAACUCGUUUUUGGGAUUUAUGGUUCAGAGACCAAGCAAAUGUGAUAAGUUACCCACCUGGAGAGUACGCUCGCGAGAGAGAAACUCAGAGGAAUUGACGGGGGCCCACACAAGGGGUGGAUUAUGUGUUUAAAUUCUAUGAUACGCGAGGAACCAUACCAAGAUUUAAAUGGAAAUUGACAGUUUUAGACAUA
rnacentral:rRNA from 1 species